UCCCUGGAAGUCUAAUGGUUAGGCCAUGAUGCUCUAACCAUCAUGGCCAGGGUUUGAUUCCUGGCCAGGGAA